GCUGGGCAUGGUGGUGCAUGCCUGUAAUCCCUGUGGCUCAGGAGGCUGAGGCAGGAGGAUUUCGAGUUCAAAGCCAGUUUCAGCAAUAGGGAGGUGCUAAGCAACUCGGUAAGACCCUGUCUCUA
rnacentral:sRNA from 1 species